UCAGUAUUGAUUAUCAAAAGCUUUGUUUAUAAAUGUAAAUUCCAAUUCUAAUAGGAAACACUAAAUAGACGAUAUGACUCCACAGGACGCAGAUUUGGCAUUCAAAACCAAGAAAACUUCCGAAAAAAUAUGCGAAAACAUACAUAUUGUAGCCAAUGAUCCAUCAUUGGCAUUUUUUCGCAUACAGGAACAUGUAAGGAAGGUGCUACAGCCAAUUUCAGAUAAACGAGCGGAAGUUAUACAGUUGCAAACGAAUUUACAAGGGCAUUGCUAUGACAUGGAAUACGCAGUUGGCGCCGUUAAAGGUGUGGAGCAUUCUGAAGCUAUUUUCAAAAAUAUACAAGAAAUGAUAAAAACUUCAAUAUUUCUUAAACAACAACUAAAGUAUGGUGAACUAAAAAACAAGUCAAAGAAGGAUUCAACUAGUAACUCCGUUUAUAAGCGCUUCUCUGCACAUUUAACAUUGGACUUGCCGGAAUUACCGGAUUUUAGUGGCGUUAUGCGCGAAACUAGUCAACGGGUAGAAACUAUGAUGACAUCCACAUCUAGAGACAACAAUGUACCACAAAGUAGUUCCAGCGAAUUGCAGAGAUCGUAUACUACAUUACAUUAAAGUUGAAGUUAGCUGUUGAAAUAUUGCUCCACAAUAUUGUACGAGUGUGUAUAAAAAUAAGAACUGAAAGUGCUCCUCCUACCCUAAACAUAUGUAUGUAUACUGUUUAAAAUUUCAUUAACGCCUACAUAGUCCUCAAUUCGAAUUAUCGUGUUAUACCCCGGCACCAUACAACUAAAUAUAUUUAUUUGGACGGACAAUGACUUUUAUAUAAUAAAAACCCAACUCUCAAUAAGCAUCACUACAGUGACCAAUGUCUGUCACCUUGACAGAAUUCCAAAUAAUGCGGUGUUUGUCUAAUACGUAAUUAUGAUUAAGAAAUAUUUUUUCAAUUCAUAUCAAUUUUUAUCAAAAAUAUAAACAAAGUACAAAAAUUA